AGGUGGUGCUAGUAAUGCCGAUGAUUAACAGUGAUAACGCUGACAAGCAUUUUUCCACUCAUUAGAUUUGUUACAGAACACUCUGAGGACUUCCACAGUCAACUAUCGACUGGACAGCCAGUUAUCUAGACAGGCCUACAUUUGAGCUGUUGAAGUGAGCAAAGUACAAUGGAGGACAGAAGCCUUCCUCGUAUUGUGGUCAUUACACUGUCUGUGCUGAUCUACAUUUCUGCUUUGGCAAUAAAUGCCAUGGCAGGAGCUGGAAAGGGACCAUUCCAUUGGAGUACAGGGAACAUCUCCAGGAAGUAUGAGACUGACAUAACUCCGGCUGGGUGGACCUUCUCCAUCUGGGGGCUUAUCUACACCUGGCUGACCCUCAUGAUCAUGUAUAUCAUCUCCUUGAUCUACAGAGGGAGCUGGACACUCUCUGUGCUACUGUACGGUUUCUACCUGUCCUGGAUAGUUAACAUGGCCCUCAACAUGACCUGGCUGCUCCUAUGGGAUCAAGAGCAGGUGACUGCUGCACUGAUUGUAAUGGCGACCAUUGCUGUCACCAACUACUCCAUGGUCUUCUUCUCCUGUUAUGGGCUGAGUAUUUACGGAGCCUGGCUCAGCCAGAACCACCCCAGGGACCUCUGGUGCAUUCAGUUGCUGGUGCAAAAUGGCAUUGCGCUGUACACCACGUGGACAACCAUCGCCACUUUGAUCAACUUCACUCUGGUGCUGGACCUCUCUGGAGUGGCAAAGAGCACUGCAGCCACCGUGUCUCUCUGCAUCCUACUAGUGGAGGUGAUUGGAUGGUUUGGUAUUGAGAACUUCCUGCUGUAUCAACAUGUGAGGUACAUCCUGACUAUUUACCCUGUGGUGAUCAUUGCUCUGGUUGGAAACGUGACCAAGCACUACGACCCUGCAGCACCAAGCGCUAACGCUAUCUUCAUGGUUGUGCUCUUGGUGAUUUCCUGUGUGCUCCUGGUGGUGCGAGUCUCCCUGGUGAUCAGGAGAAACAGGAACCAGACCCUUCACCCGGAAGCUCUGACCUCACCCAGCAGCCUGUCCAAGAAGCACAGGAAGAUAUUCAUGUAGACAACUGGAAUGACCUUGGGAAUAGUUACCAGGGAGAGGAAUGAACCAAUUGAAAGCUGGGGAUGAUUAAGUGCCCAUGAGGGUAUGAGGGUGUCACGUGUGAUCCCUCUCCCUCUCCGGCCUCUAGGUCACCAGGCUGCUCGUUAUGGCGCACCUGUGCAUCAUCAAACUCACCUGGACUCCAUCACUUCCCUGAUUACCUUCCCUAUAUCUGUCACUCCCUUUAGUUCCUUCCCCAGGUGUCAUUGUUUCUGUGUCAUGUCUGUGCGUUGUUCGUGUGUUCUUGGUUUGUAUUAUGUUACAUUUAUUUAAACACUCACUCUCUGAACUUGCUUCCUGACUCUCAUCGUUACAGAAUGAUGCCUCACCUAAGGGAAGCAUCAGGGAGUUUUUUUUUUUAAUUUUUUUUUUUAUAUGGAUUUUUUUGGUGGGAAUGAUGUUGGGUCCGGCAGGCUCUCAUGCCGCAGACAGAUCGCCAGGCUCCCCUGCCUCCGCCGGUUCGUCGGGCUUUCAUGCGUCAGCCGGAUCGACAGGCUCCCCUGCCUCACCCAGUUUGGUUCCCACGCAUCAGCAGGGGUGACCGGUUUGCUCCUGAUCCACGGGAUCGUCACUUUGGUUGGCGACCUGCUGCUGGAGCCGACCACGUUGGGAAGGGGGUACUGUCACGUGUGCUCCCUCUCCGGCCUCUAGGUCACCAGGCUGCUUGUUAUGGUGCACACCAGUCACCAACGUUACGCGCCCCUUGGUUCAUUCCUCUCCCUGGUAAAACUCACCUGGUCUCCAUCACUACCCUGAUUACCUUCCCUAUACAGUUGAACUUGGAAGUUUACAUACACCUUAGCCAAAUACAUUUAAACUCAGUUAUUCACAAUUCCUGACAUUUAAUCCUAGUAUAAAUUCCCUGUCUUAGGUCAGUUAGGAUCACCACUUCAUUUUAAGAAUGUGAAAUGUCAGAAUAAUAAUUAUUUCAGCUUUUAUUUCUUUCAUCACAUUCACAGUGGGUCAGAAGUUCACAUGCACUCAAUUAAUAUUUUGUAGCAUUGCCUUUUAAUUGUUUAACUUGGGUCAAAUGUUUCGGGUAGCCUUCCACAAGCAUCCCAUAAUAAGUUGGGUGAAUUUUGGCCCAUUCCUCCUGACAGCGCUAGUGUAACUGAGUCAGAUUUGUAGGCCUCCUUGCUCACACACGCUUUUUCAGUUCUGCCCACAAAUCUUCUAUAGAAUUGAGGUCAGGGCUUUGUGAUGGCCACUCCAAUACCUUGACUUUGUUGUCCUUAAGCCAUUUUGCCACAACUUUAGAAGUAUGCCAUUGUCCAUUUAGAAGACCCAUUUGUGACCAAGCUUUAACAUCCUAACUGAUGUCUUGAUGUUGCUUCAAUAUAUCCACAACUUUCCUACCUCAUGAUGCCAUCUAUUUUGUGAAUUGCACCAGUCCCUCCUGAAGCAAAACACCCCCACAACAUGAUGCUGCCACCCCCGUGCUUCAUGGUUGGGAUGGUGUUCUUCGGCUUGCAAGGUUCCCACUUUUUCCUUCAAACUUAACAAUGAUCAUUAUGGCCAAACAGUUCUAUUUUUGUCUCAUCAGACCAGAGGACAUUUCUCCAAAAAGUACUAUCUUUGUCCCCAUGUGCAGUUGCAAACUGUAGCCUGGCUUUUUUAUGGUGGUUUUGGAGCAGUCUCUUCUUCCUUGCUGAGCGGCCUUUCAGAUUAUGUCGAUGUUUUACUGUGGCUAUAGAUACCUUUGUACCUGUUUCCUCCAGCAUCUUCACAAGGUCCUUUGCUGUUGUUCUGGGACUGAUUUGCACUUUUUGCACCAAAGUACUUUCAUCUUUAGGAGACAGAACACAUCUCCUUCCUGAGCGGUAUGGUGGCUGCGUGGUCCCAUGGUGUUUACUUGUGUACUAUUGUUUGUACAGAUGAGUGUGGUACUUUCAGGCGUUUGGAAAUUGCCCCCAAGGAUGAACCAGACUUGUGGAGGCCUACAAUUUUUUUUCUGAGGUCUUGGCUGAUUUCUUUUGAUUUUUCCCAUGAUGUCAAGCAAAGAGGCACUGAGUUUGAAGGUAGGCCUUGAAAGACAUCCACAGACUCAAAUGAUGUCAAUUAGCCUAUCAGAAGCUUCUAAAGCCAUGACAUUAUUUUCUGGAAUUUUCCAAGCUGUUUAAGGCACAGUCAAGUUAGUGUAUGUAAAAUUCUGACCCACUGGAACUGUGAUACAGUGAAUUAUAAGUGAAAUAAUCUGUUUGUAAACAAGUGUUGGAAAAAUGACUUAUGUCAUGCACAGAGUAGAUGUCCUAACCGACUUGUCAAAACUAUAGUUUGUUAACAAGAAAUUUGUGGAGUGGUUGAAAAACGAGUUUUAAUGACUCCAACCUAAGUGUAUGUAAACUUCUGACUUCAACUGUAUAUGUCACUCCCUUUGGUUCCUUCCCCAGGUGUUAUUGUUUCUGUGUCAUGUCUGUGCAUUAGUGUUUUCUUGUUUUGUAUUAUGUUACGUUUAUUUAUUAAAACACUCACUCCCUGAACUUGCUUCCCGACUCUCAGCGCACAUCGUUACAGAGGGCCAAAUGUAGAAUUUAGCCAGGACACCGGGGUUAACACCCCUACUCUUACAAUAAGUGCCAUGGGAUCUUUAGUGACCACAGAGUCAGGACACCUGUUUAACAUGCCAUCCAAAAGACAACACCCUACACAGGGCAAUGUCCCCAGUCACUGCCCUGGGUGUUUGGGAUUUUUUGUAUUUAUUAUUGACCAGAGGAAAGAGAGCCUCCUACUGGCCCUCCAACAC
rnacentral:lncRNA from 1 species